CCAAUAGCGUAUAUUAAAGUUGUUGCAGUUAAAAAGCUCGUAGUUGAAUUUCGGGACCAAUCUGCCGGUCGUGCCUCCGGUACGCACUGGUUUUAUUGGUUUCUCCCUUCUGACGAACCAUGAUGUCAUUAAUUUGGUGUCAUGGGGAAUCAGGACUGUUACUUUGAAAAAAUUAGAGUGUUUAUAGCAGGCUCACGCUUGAAUACAUUAGCAUGGAAUAAUGAAAUAGGACGUUUGACCCUAUUUUGUUGGUUUCUAGGAUCGACGUAAUGAUUAAUAGGGAUAGUUGGGGGCAUUAGUAUUAAAUUGUCAGAGGUGAAAUUCUUGGAUUUAUUGAAGACUAACUACUGCGAAAGCAUUUGCCAAGGAUGUUUUCAUUAAUCAAGAACGAAAGUUAGGGGAUCGAAGACGAUCAGAUACCGUCGUAGUCUUAACCAUAAACUAUGCCGACUAGGGAUCGGAUGAUGUUAAUUUUUUAAUGACUCAUUCGGCGCCUUACG
rnacentral:misc_RNA from 1 species